rnacentral:rRNA from 1 species
AGGUUUGAUCAUGGCUCAGAUUGAACGCUGGCGGGAUGCUUUACGCGCGUACUGCAAGUCGAACGGCAGCACGGACUUCGGUCUGGUGGCGAGUGGCGAACGGUUGAAGUAAUGUGCUCGGAACGUGCCUUCAAAUGGCGGGGGAUAACUACGCGGCGUAGCUAAUACCGCAUACGCCUUCGGGGGAAAGCGGGGGGACCUUCCGGGCCUCGCACUAUUAGAGCGGCCGAUAUCGGAUUGGCCUAGUUGGGUAGGGUAACAGCUCGCAGAGCGACGAUCCGUAGCUGGUUUGAGAGGACGACCAGCCACACUGGGACUGGACACAGCCGAACUCUACAGGGAGAGCAGCAGUGGGGAAUUUUGGACAAUGGGAAACCUGAUCCAGCCAUCCCGCGUGUGCGAUGAAGGCCUUCCGGGUUGUAAAGCACUUUUUGGUAGAGACAAGAAACGGCACGGGAUAAUGCCCGUGCAGACUGGUAAUACCUGCAGAAUAGCACCGACUGGACCACACGUGCCAGCAGCCGCGGUAAUACAUGAGGUGCAAGCGUUAAUCGGAAUUACUGGGCGUAAAGCGAUGCGUUGAGCGGUUUGUGGAAGAAAGAUGUGAAUCCCAGAGCCACUUUGGAACUGGUUUGUUCCGAGCUAGAGUGUGUCAGAGGGAGGUGGAAUUCCGCGUGUGAUGAAAUGCGUAGAUAUGCGGAGGAACACCGAUGGCGAAGGCAGCCUCUGGGAUAACACUGACGCUCAUGCACGAAAAGCGUGGAGCAAACGGGAUUAGAUACCCUGGUAGUCCACGCCCUAAACGAUGUCAACUAGCUAUUGGGAGCCUUCGGGCCUUGGUAGCGCAGCUGACGCGUGGAGGACGUGACCGCCACAAGAAUACGGUCGCAAGAUUAAAACUCAAAGGAAUUGACGGGACCACACAAGCAGUGGAUGAUGUGGAUUAAUUCGAUGCAACGCGAAAACCUUACCUACCCUUGACAUGUCUGAAUCCCGAAGAGAUUUGGGAGUGCUCGCAAGAGAACCGGAACACAGGUGCUGCAUGGCUGUCGUCAGCUCGUGUCGUGAGAUGUUGGGUUAAGUCCCGCAACAGGCGCAACCCUUGUCAUUAGUUGCUACGAAGAGGGCACUCUAAUAGGACUGCCGGUAUGAAGCCGGAGGAAGGUGGGGAUGACGUUAAGUCCUCAUAGCCCUUAUGGUGGGGCUUCACACGUCAUACAAUGGUCAGGACAGAGGGUCGCCAACCCGUUGAGAGGCCAAUCCCAGAAACCCGAUCGUAGUCCGGAUCGCAGUCUGCAACUCGACUGCGUGAAGUCGGAAUCGCUAGUAAUCGCGGAUCAGCAUGUCGCAGUGAAUACGUUCCCGGGUCUUAUGCUGUUUCUUCAUGUUGCCGGAUGGGUUUUACCGAAGUAGUUAGCCUAACCGUAAGGGGAGAGUGGACUACCACGGUAAAUUCAUGACUGGGGUGAAGUCAUGUGGAUAAA